rnacentral:lncRNA from 1 species
AACCUAGUUUCUAUUUCUACGCGUUUUUUCAUAGUGACAGUUAACCGGAAAUGCGCAAAAACCGUCUAAUAUCCAAUAGAAAAGUAAACAAUACAGAGAUAACAGCGUAAAAAUAAUUUAUGUCUGAAAAGCUACAAAUUGAGGUGGAGUUAAUGAACUAAAUACCAAAAAGUGCCCCAAACGUGAUCCCAGUAAUGCUGCGCAGAGUGCACAAUAACGUUCAAAGAAAGCGACGCAAAGAAGAAAAACAAAAAUUAAGAGCGGGAGAUGAAACGUUCCAAAUUCUAAUCGCUUUGAUGGUAGUGAAGAUGGCAAGUCAAGGGAGGAAGAAGUCGAAGAAUGGAUCAGUACGAAGCAGAAGAGUCGAUGCGCUUAGAUCUUGCUGGCAGCUAAUGAGGGCAUAAUUUUCCGGAAAUUGCCAUUGAAAAUGAGCAAAACUGGACGAUUUCUUCAGAGUUGGUUGAUCUGCAUCCACGCUUGGCACUAAUUAAAUGCAAAAGCCACAGGAAA